GGAUAACCUACCCUUAGGACCGGGAUAACCCUGGGAAACUGGGGCUAAUACUGGAUAGGCAAUUAUUCCUGCAAUGGUUUUUUGUUUAAAUGUUUUUUCGCCUAAGGAUGGGUCUGCGGCCGAUUAGGUAGUUGGUUAGGUAAUGGCUUACCAAGCCGUUGAUCGGUACGGGUUGUGAGAGCAAGAGCCCGGAGAUGGAACCUGAGACAAGGUUCCAGGCCCUACGGGGUGCAGCAGGCGCGAAACCUCCGCAAUGUGAGAAAUCGCGACGGGGGGAUCCCAAGUGCCAUUCUUAACGGGAUGGCUUUUCAUUAGUGUAAAGAGCUUUUGGAAUAAGAGCUGGGCAAGACCGGUGCCAGCCGCCGCGGUAACACCGGCAGCUCUAGUGGUAACAAUUUUUAUUGGGCCUAAAGCGUCCGUAGCCGGUUUAAUAAGUCUCUGGUGAAAUCCUGUAGCUUAACUGUGGGAAUUGCUGGAGAUACUAUUAGACUUGAGACCGGGAGAGGUUAGAGGUACUCCCAGGGUAGAGGUGAAAUUCUGUAAUCCUGGGAGGACCGCCUGUUGCGAAGGCGUCUAACUGGAACGGUUCUGACGGUGAGGGACGAAAGUUAGGGGCGCGAACCGGAUUAGAUACCCGGGUAGUCCUAACUGUAAACGAUGCGGACUUGGUGUUGGGGGUGGCUUUGAGCUGCUCCAGUGCCGAAGGGAAGCCGUUAAGUCCGCCGCCUGGGAAGUACGGUCGCAAGACUGAAACUUAA
rnacentral:rRNA from 1 species